CUGAUGAAGGACUGAGAUACAAUUUGGAUUCCCAGGUCUCAUAUCUGCUGCAUCAGGAAAUGAACUAGAUUGAAUCUUAACUGUGAAAAGAUGAGGCUUUAAAAGGCACUGCAAGAGGGGGGAGGUUCCUUUUGCAAUGUACCCAUUUCUAUCCUGUUUGGAUUUUUCAUUAGGAGUAAAUGCUAUUCAUGUGCUCCCUGGGAAUACUGUAAAACACGUACACAGAGUUUGUGAGCUCUUUGUGCUUUUUCUACUUGUCUCUGGGUACUGUUUAAAACUUUUCCCACCUUUUACAAAUGACUCCCUGUGUCAAAGUGUCAAUGAGUAGAUUAGCAGAUAGAGGCCAGAGGCCAAUAAGCUCCAAGCAGUUCUGAAAGGCUCCCUGCUUGAUUCCUUCAAUGAAAGAAUUGAUGCCAGUUCCAGUGCACACUGGGGGGUAUUGAGAGGCCAAUUUAAUGUUUCUGAAGCUCUCAGAGGUCCUUGGACGAAAACAAACAGGCUCCCAGAUCUUACAACUCCAAAGACACUUCUGAACGCAUAUCUACCUCUACCAGCAUCCUGUUUUAGUGAGGGCAUUCAAAGGAAUUGUGGGUAUCUUCCUGCCUUAGAUCUCUGACUGAGCCAGAUGCGGAAAGAGUAGGAUUGAAUCUUCACUUCUGCCACCCCGUGAAGAAUUGCCUAUUUAGGCCUUAAGAAGUGCCUGUUACCUGGUAUUGAAUUGGUCAGUUUGCGAUGUCCCCUGCAUUGCAAUAGAACUACAGUGACAUCACAUCUUGUUUUUCUUCCAUGGUUACCAGGCACAAGCAGCAGCACUGCAAACUUCCCCAUAAUACCACAGGAACGGGGCUCAAUAUUGAUUGGAGGAACCAUCUUUAGAGGGGAUUCUAUGAAUUAUAUCAAAUAGAUUAAUGUGCUGACCCUUAACCUCUGGAAACCUGAGGCUGAAUUACAGCUGUGCCUUGAGAAGCUUGAAUUUUAACUCUCGGUUAAGAACUGUGCUGCAAGGAUUAGAUGCCUGAACUUGACCUUCUAAAGAAACUGCAAAAUUAGCACAAGAUUUUCCAGUGCUACUUCUACUGUCUUUAGCAAUCAGAUAGUGAUUAAAAGGAAAUGAAGAAAGUGUUUGAAACUGUGGCACUACAGCACUGUACAAAGGCAAAGGAAAGACAACAUAGUGUAUUUGGUAUCAGCUACGUAGAACAAACCUUCCAAUAAGGCAUAUUUACUGAUUUACAUUGUAUACUUUUUCAUCUGAAAGUGCAGUUAUUCAGAAAAGUGAUAGUAAAAGCAUUUUCUGGAACUCCAUACUUAUUCUCUGUAGGUAUCGGACUCUCUCUGUUUAGAAAUAAAAUAUUACUAUUUUAACUGCUAGUCUUGCAAACGCAAGUAAGAUUUGACAAUCAGUUUAUUUCUGCCACUUACAUCAACAGCACUCAAGAUUUGGCUAUUGAAACUUAGUUGACAAAACGUUUGGUGAUGCAGGAGCCAGAAGAAUCCAGUUCACUUUUGCCUUUUGUCAGGAAGGCAGGUUACCAGCAUCAGAAGAUACUAAUGGUUGAUGGAUCUAAUCAGAUCCAUUGGCUAAUCUUUGUAUAGCUCAGAAUACUAAUUCUGAAUAAAAGGAACAAUUCUCUGUGUUCAAUUUUAAAAGUUCAAAGUACUCUGUGAUAUCAGAAUGUGUAUAUCUGUGAAGUUUGUGGGGAUUGUCGUCAUUUAGGAAAUCCAAGGAAAUGUGAGGAAAAUGCGGAAAUUUUUAAAAAAUUGAGCUUUUGAACAUUUUCUAUUGCAAAAUUAAUAAACAUUUCACAAUAAAUUCAUAGAGACUUCAAUAAACAUCUGAAGACCUGUCAAGUCAAAUUUAGAGGCUAAAUUCAAUCACAAAAGUAGAAAACAGAGGGAUUUAGUCUUGUUUGAAAUGCAAAUCUCAAUGGAAACUUAACUACAGCUUCACUACUGAUGUCUACAUUAUAUAAACAAACAGGUCAAGAUUUACAAAAAUUUUCAGUAAUGUCAUUGGGAGACUGUUUUGGGGUGCUCAGUUUAAAUGAGCCUGUUUGAAGAGGAUUGAUGCUUGGCACUUUCUGACAAUCUGACCUCAUGUUGGACACCCAAACACCGAGAUACCCCAAAUUACUAGUAUAGUUUGGAAAACUUUACCAGAGACAGAGGGAAAGAGAAAGAGAGAGAGAGAAAUAUGAUGGUGUGAUGUAAAAGUUUUAUCAGCAUAAAUGUGGGAUUGAGUUUCAUGGGUCAUCCCAAAAAGUGCCCAGAAAACCUUUUGGGUUUCAGUGAAAGUUUUGCAAAGCAAACUGGGAUGAGCACAGCAUGAGCAGAAUAUGGUGAACUGUUACAUGUUGAUAGAUUAACCAUUUCUGAUAAAAAUUAGAACUGACCUGAACUUUCAUCCAAAAUUUGAAGUGAACUCUUUUCAACCUUUUGUUGUUAUUUCCUAUGUUUCUUCCACUUCUGUUUUUCACAAGACUCUUUCAGCUGACCCGAAAUAAAUUUACCAAGAUACUACAAAAAAGGAGGCCGUUCU